GGUUGGUUAGCUCAGGUGGUAGAGUAUGGCACUAAUAAUGCCGAGGUUGUGGGUUCAAUCCCCAUACUAACCA